UGGGGAAUCUUGGACAAUGGGGCAACCCUGAUCCAGCAAUGCCGCGUGUGGGAUGAAGGCCUUCGGGUUGUAAACCACUUUUGGCGGGGGCGAAAUAUCGAGUGCUAAUACCAGUUCGGUGAUGACGGUACCCGCAGAAUAAGCACCGGCUAACUACGUGCCAGCAGCCGCGGUAAUACGUAGGGUGCAAGCGUUAAUCGGAAUUACUGGGCGUAAAGCGUGCGCAGGCGGUUAGGUAAGACAGGUGUGAAAUUCCCGGGCUCAACCUGGGAACUGCAUUUGUGACUGCCUGACUAGAGUGCGGGCAGAGGGGAGUGGAAUUCCGCGUGUAGCAGUGAAAUGCGUAGAUAUGCGGAGGAACACCGAUGGCGAAGGCAACUCCCUGGGCCUGCACUGACGCUCAUGCACGAAAAGCGUGGGGAGCAAAACAGGAUUANAUACCCUGGUAGUCCCACGCCUAAAACGAUGUCGACUAGUUGUUGGGACGGGUUACUGUUCCAGUAAACGAAGUAAACGCGUGAAGUGCGACCGCCU
rnacentral:rRNA from 1 species